GGGUGGGUAACACGUGGAUAACCUACCUAUAAGACUGGGAUAACUUCGGGAAACCGGAGCUAAUACCGGAUAAUAUUUUGAACCGCAUGGUUCAAAAGUGAAAGACGGUCUUGCUGUCACUUAUAGAUGGAUCCGCGCUGCAUUAGCUAGUUGGUAAGGUAACGGCUUACCAAGGCAACGAUGCAUAGCCGACCUGAGAGGGUGAUCGGCCACACUGGAACUGAGACACGGUCCAG
rnacentral:rRNA from 1 species